UGACCGAUAGUGAACCAGUACCGUGAGGGAAAGGCGAAAAGAACCCCGGCGAGGGGAGUGAAAAAGAACCUGAAACCGUGUACGUACAAGCAGUGGGAGCACGCUUAGGCGUGUGACUGCGUACCUUUUGUAUAAUGGGUCAGCGACUUAUAUUCUGUAGCAAGGUUAACCGAAUAGGGGAGCCGAAGGGAAACCGAGUCUUAACUGGGCGUUAAGUUGCAGGGUAUAGACCCGAAACCCGGUGAUCUAGCCAUGGGCAGGUUGAAGGUUGGGUAACACUAACUGGAGGACCGAACCGACUAAUGUUGAAAAAUUAGCGGAUGACUUGUGGCUGGGGGUGAAAGGCCAAUCAAACCGGGAGAUAGCUGGUUCUCCCCGAAAGCUAUUUAGGUAGCGCCUCGUGAAUUCAUCUCCGGGGGUAGAGCACUGUUUCGGCAAGGGGGUCAUCCCGACUUACCAACCCGAUGCAAACUGCGAAUACCGGAGAAUGUUAUCACGGGAGACACACGGCGGGUGCUAACGUCCGUCGUGAAGAGGGAAACAACCCAGACCGCCAGCUAAGGUCCCAAAGUCAUGGUUAAGUGGGAAACGAUGUGGGAAGGCCCAGACAGCCAGGAUGUUGGCUUAGAAGCAGCCAUCAUUUAAAGAAAGCGUAAUAGCUCACUGGUCGAGUCGGCCUGCGCGGAAGAUGUAACGGGGCUAAACCAUGCACCGAAGCUGCGGCAGCGACGCUUAUGCGUUGUUGGGUAGGGGAGCGUUCUGUAAGCCUGUGAAGGUGUGCUGUGAGGCAUGCUGGAGGUAUCAGAAGUGCGAAUGCUGACAUAAGUAACGAUAAAGCGGGUGAAAAGCCCGCUCGCCGGAAGACCAAGGGUUCCUGUCCAACGUUAAUCGGGGCAGGGUGAGUCGACCCCUAAGGCGAGGCCGAAAGGCGUAGUCGAUGGGAAACAGGUUAAUAUUCCUGUACUUGGUGUUACUGCGAAGGGGGGACGGAGAAGGCUAUGUUGGCCGGGCGACGGUUGUCCCGGUUUAAGCGUGUAGGCUGGUUUUCCAGGCAAAUCCGGAAAAUCAAGGCUGAGGCGUGAUGACGAGGCACUACGGUGCUGAAGCAACAAAUGCCCUGCUUCCAGGAAAAGCCUCUAAGCAUCAGGUAACAUCAAAUCGUACCCCAAACCGACACAGGUGGUCAGGUAGAGAAUACCAAGGCGCUUGAGAG
rnacentral:rRNA from 1 species